AUACAGAGGGUGCGAGCGUUAAUCGGAAUUACUGGGCGUAAAGCGCGCGUAGGCGGUUAUUUAAGUCAGAUGUGAAAUCCCUGGGCUCAACCUAGGAACUGCAUCUGAAACUGGGUAACUAGAGUUUAGGAGAGGGGAGUAGAAUUUCGGGUGUAGCGGUGAAAUGCAUAGAGAUCCGAAGGAAUACCAGUGGCGAAGGCGACUCCCUGGCCUAGAACUGACGCUGAGGUGCGAAAGCGUGGGUAGCAAACGGGAUUAGAAACCCUAGUAGUCC
rnacentral:rRNA from 1 species